UACGUAGGGUGCAAGCGUUGUCCGGAAUUAUUGGGCGUAAAGAGCUCGUAGGCGGUUUGUCGCGUCGAAUGUGAAAACCCGGGGCUCAACCCCGGGCCUGCAUUCGAUACGGGCAGGCUAGAGUUCGGUAGGGGGAGAUCGGAAUUCCUGGUGUAGCGGUGAAAUGCGCAGAUAUCAGGAGGAACACCGGUGGCGAAGGCGGAUCUCUGGGCCGAUACUGACGCUGGAGGAGCGAAAGCGUGGGGAGCGAACAGGA
rnacentral:rRNA from 1 species